AUUUAUAUAGUUUAAUAAAAAAUAUUACAUUUUCAUUGUAAAGAUAAUUUAUAAUUUAUAAAUA
rnacentral:tRNA from 1 species